rnacentral:lncRNA from 1 species
UGGGGUCCAGCUCAGCGCAGUGUACUAGUUGCGAGGAAGCGGGCCCCACUAUACAUUGAACCUAAUAUACAACGCAACCAAGAGUUAAAGUUAGAAACUUGAGAGAACCUGCAGUAGUAGCAGAAUAAAUUUUAAUAUCAUUAAAUGAGAAAUUGACCGAGACUUUUAGAAAUAAGAAAGUUUAACAGUGAGACACCAAAGAGACUACAGUAAUAGCAAAGAAUGGCAUAAUACAAGUUAAUUCUUAUUGGAGAACCCUGUCUCCCUCUGGCACGUAAAAAAGUGCAUUGUUUACAUCAUUGAGGGCAUCUAACUCACUCUAUAGUUUUGUACUGCUGCUUAAUUUACAAAACUCCUGUAUUUGAAGGGGUUACUGCUGCGUUUUGUCAUUGUUGUAGAACAACAACCCAUGAAUAUAGAGUUUGAAAGCAAACAACAAUAACAAAAUCAAAGGAAAUCACUUACAAAAUCAAAGGAAAUCACUUCAAACUACCUUUGAUCGCAUAGAAAUUAAAAAGAAGAUAAUGGAGGAGGAAUAUAAUUCAUAAAAUGCCAAAAACAAGACCUAAGAUACUGAAUCUUUAUGAUAAAAUGGGCAAGAUGGUGUCACAUUAGUAAAAUCACCUGACUAUUUCGAAAAUUGUGCUGAAAUGUACAAAAGUUAAUCAUUUAUUAAAACUUCAGCAGAGGAUCUAUAAUUGAAAUCACCUAAUAAUGUUUGAGCAAACUAUAUCAGAGAAAAACAACUAAUCGAUGUACAUUGCUAAACAUGAUGGGAGCAUGAUAGCGCAAGAGUAAUUCCUAACUACUACCAAAAUACAUUCCGCAAUAUUUGCCCAAAAAAUGAUAAAUAUUGGAUAUUAAAGUACGAGACAUCCGAUUUCCAAGUUGAAAAGGAUAAAACAUCUAGAGCAUUACAUAUGCACAACAGGUAAAACUUUGCCGUUGCCGGUCAACGAUACGUAAUACGUAAUAGAAAAAAUUGAAAAAAUACAAAGACAAAUGCGCAUCAAAGAAGUUUUUGCACUAAUAAAGCUAAAACACAAACGCAAUCAAAUUUGAUCGAACUCAACGAGAUUCACAACUCAAUAGAAAGGAAAGAGAGAAACAAUUGAGUUCCCAACAAGAAAAUGUCUGUCACCCAAGAUUCAAACAUUAUUAACAUUUUAGUAUGAACAUAGAUAGGGGAACCAAAAAAAACAAAAAAGACUUAUCAACAAAUAAUUGGGUUCAUACCUGCGAUCUUUUCGGAACCAAAUGCUUAUUUCUUCGCCUCAUUCGCUCGUCAUCCCAACAAAUAACUCUUUCCUAUCAUUCCACAACCAAAAAGUUUCUCACCCCAAAUUCACACUACUGAAUCCUCCCAGGUAUGUCUAAAACUCCUUCCCCUCCUCCNCCCCCCCCCCCCCCCCCCUCCCCUCCCAACAACCAAGAUGAAGAAACCUCCACUAAAACUACCCCCACAAUGUACACAGCACUCUUCUUCUUCUCUAUCUCUCUCUCUCUCUCUCUCACUCUCCCCAGUUGGGUGGGCUUAUACCCUACCAUCUGGUUGAGCUGUAACCAUCCCCCAUUGUACUUAUAAACCUCCCUAUAGAUUAAUCAAAAAUCUCAUGUUCCUAAAUCAUGGUUUAAGCAAUGACAAUGCCGACAGAUAGUGACGCGGCGCCGACGCAAGACACAAGUUUUUUAUUUUUUCCCCCUCCUCCUUUUUCCCCCUCCCUUCUCCUUCACUUCUCUACCACCAAUCCAAAUGGAAUGGAUAUAAAGGAGGCUCUUUUAUUCUUCCUCAGGCACAAACAACCACUAGCCAUUAAAGAAAAAGGAUCAAAAGAGAAAGGAAGAACCCCAAUGACAGGGGAUGUUAGUACCCAGGGAAUAUGAUAUGCCUCAGAAGAGAAUUAAACAAAGGGAGGGGGGAGGAAUUAGAGAAAGGGAGCUCCUUUUUUUUCUUUUUUUUUAAUAUAUGGGCUGUAAAGAGAGGAUUGAAAGGGGUUUUCUGACACUGCUACAAGUUGGAGGGUUCUGUGUGCAAAACUUUCCUUCUCUUUUUCCUCCUCACCACUCUUCUCCUGAGCAUCUUCAACAAUGGAGUUGUUGGAGAGAGAGAGAGAGAGAGAGAGAGAGAGAGAGAGAGAGGAAAAAAUUGAAUUUUGGAGAGGUGGGUAACUGGGUAUGGAUUAGAUAGAGCUGUAUCUCGAUGAAAACAAGAUCAAAUUGAAGUAAAACAACCAAAAAAAGAAAAGAAAAAAAAAAAAAAAGAGGUUCAAUUGGUUGUAAACUUGUAAUCAGAAAGAAGGAGACAGCUAUGUUUUCUAGUGAAAGCUAAGGAGUUGUUAUCAGAAACAGGACAGCUAUAUUGACAUUGUUCCUACCAUAAAAAUAAAACAAGAUAAAUAGAAAAAAAAAAAAAAGAAAAGAAUUGAGGGGUAAAAAAAAAAGAAAUAAACAAAAUGAUUUAGAGGGGAAAAGGUUAAAAAUAAUAAUAAUAAUAAGGGCUACCUCACUCCCUGAGGAGGUGUUCUCCUACCAACAACAUGACCCAGCUCCUCUUUUUUCUUGUUUUUUUUUUU